AGAGUUUGAUCCUGGCUCAGGACGAACGCUGGCGGCGCGCCUAACACAUGCAAGUCGAACGAGAGAAGAAGAGCUUGCUUUUCUGAUCGAGUGGCGAACGGGUGAGUAACGCGUGAGGAACCUGCCUCAAAGAGGGGGACAACAGUUGGAAACGACUGCUAAUACCGCAUAAGCCCACGGCUCGGCAUCGAGCAGAGGGAAAAGGAGCAAUCCGCUUUGAGAUGGCCUCGCGUCCGAUUAGCUAGUUGGUGAGGUAACGGCCCACCAAGGCGACGAUCGGUAGCCGGACUGAGAGGUUGAACGGCCACAUUGGGACUGAGACACGGCCCAGACUCCUACGGGAGGCAGCAGUGGGGAAUAUUGCACAAUGGGGGAAACCCUGAUGCAGCGACGCCGCGUGGAGGAAGAAGGUCUUCGGAUUGUAAACUCCUGUUGUUGAGGAAGAUAAUGACGGUACUCAACAAGGAAGUGACGGCUAACUACGUGCCAGCAGCCGCGGU
rnacentral:rRNA from 1 species